rnacentral:rRNA from 1 species
AUUGAACGCUGGCGGAAUGCUUUACACAUGCAAGUCGAACGGCAGCACGGACUUCGGUCUGGUGGCGAGUGGCGAACGGGUGAGUAAUGUAUCGGAACGUGCCCAGUCGUGGGGGAUAACGUUGUGAAAAUUACGCUAAUACCGCAUACGAUCUAUGGAUGAAAGCGGGGGUUCGCAAGACCUCGCGCGAUUGGAGCGGCCGAUAUCAGAUUAGGUAGUUGGUGGGGUAAAGGCCCACCAAGCCAACGAUCUGUAGCUGGUCUGAGAGGACGACCAGCCACACUGGAACUGAGACACGGUCCAGACUCCUACGGGAGGCAGCAGUGGGGAAUUUUGGACAAUGGGCGAAAGCCUGAUCCAGCCAUUCCGCGUGCAGGAUGAAGGCCCUCGGGUUGUAAACUGCUUUUGUACAGAACGAAAAGGUUUCUACUAAUACUAGGAGCUCAUGACGGUACUGUAAGAAUAAGCACCGGCUAACUACGUGCCAGCCGCCGCAGUAA